CUAUAUGAAGUCGGAAUUGCUAGUAAUCGCGGAUCAGCAUGCCGCGGUGAAUACGUUCCCGGGCCUUGUACACACCGCCCGUCACACCAUGAGAGUCGAUAACACCCGAAGCCUGUAGUCUAACAGCAAUGAGGACGCAGUCGAAGGUGGGAUUGAUAAUUAGGGUGAAGUCGUAACAAGGUACC
rnacentral:rRNA from 1 species